UACGUAGGGACCAAGCGUUGUUCGGAUUUACUGGGCGUAAAGGGCGCGUAGGCGGCGUGUCAAGUCAAUUGUGAAAUCUCCGAGCUUAACUCGGAACGGUCAAUUGAUACUGAUGUGCUAGAGUGCAGAAGGGGCAAUCGGAAUUCUUGGUGUAGCGGUGAAAUGCGUAGAUAUCAGGAGGAACACCGGUGGUGUAAACGGCUUUCUGGACCAUAACUGACGCUGAUGCACGAAAGCGUGGGUAGCAAACAGG
rnacentral:rRNA from 1 species